UACGAAGGGGGCUAGCGUUGCUCGGAAUCACUGGGCGUAAAGGGUGCGUAGGCGGGUCUUUAAGUCAGGGGCGAAAUCCUGGAGCUCAACUCCAGAACUGCCUUUGAUACUGAGGAUCUUGAGUUCGGGAGAGGUGAGUGGAACUGCGAGUGUAGAGGUGAAAUUCGUAGAUAUUGGGAAGAACACCGGUGGCGAAGGCGGCUCUCUGGACCACAACUGACGCUGAGGCGCGAAAGCGUGGGGAGCAAACAGG
rnacentral:rRNA from 1 species